CCCUUAGAUGUUCUGGGCUGCACGCGCGCUACACUGAUGCAUGCAACGAGUUUUCGACCUUGCCUGAAAAGGUUGGGUAAUCUGUUUAACAUGUGUCGUGAUGGGGAUAGACCAUUGCAAUUAUUGAUCUUCAACGAGGAAUUCCUAGUAAGCGCGAGUCAUCAGCUCGUGCUGAUUAUGUCCCUGCCCUUUGUACACACCGCCUGUCGCUCCUACCGAUUGAGUGAUCCGGUGAAUGAUUCGGACCAGCGUGCUGCUCAGAUCCUGCGCAGUGUGCUGGGAAGUCUAGUGAACCUUAUCACUUAGAGGAAGGAGAAGUCGUAACA
rnacentral:rRNA from 1 species